rnacentral:rRNA from 1 species
GACGAACGCUGGCGGCGUGCUUAACACAUGCAAGUCGAGCGGAGCGGCGAACGGGUGAGUAACGCGUGAGUAACUGCCCCCCUCUCUGGGAUAAAAGUUGGAAACGGCUGCUAAUACCGGAUAGUGGGGGAUGACUCGCGUCCUAUCAGCUUGUUGGUGGGGUAGUGGCAUACAGAGGCGACGACGGGUAGCCGGCCUGAGCGGGCGACCGGCCAAAUUGGGCUGAGGUACGGCCUAGACUCCUACGGGAGGCAGCAGUGGGGAUUAUUGCACAAGGGGGGAAACCCUGAUGCAGCAACGCCGGGUGCGGGAUGACGGCCUUCGGGUUGUAAACCGCUUUCAGCGAUGACGCGGUAGUGGCAGAAGAAGCACCGGCUAACUACGUGCCAGCAGCCGCGGUAAUUC